AGAACGAACGCUGGCGGCAGGCUUAACACAUGCAAGUCGAACGGUUGUAGCAAUACAGCAGUGGCGCACGGGUGAGUAACGCGUGGGAACAUCCCUUUCAGUUCGGAAUAACCUCGGGAAACUGAGGCUAAUACCGGAUAUUCUCUUCGGAGGAAAGAUUUAUCGCUGAAAGAUUGGCCCGCGUCAGAUUAGCUAGUUGGUGGGGUAAUGGCCUACCAAGGCUCCGAUCUGUAGCUGGUCUGAGAGGACGACCAGCCACACUGGAACUGAGACACGGUCCAGACUCCUACGGGAGGCAGCAGUGGGGAAUAUUGGACAAUGGGCGAAAGCCUGAUCCAGCCAUGCCGCGUGAAUGAUGAAGGCCUUAGGUUGUAAAGUCUUUUGCCAGGAAGAUAAUGACGGUACCUGGAGAAUAAGCACCGGCUAACUUCGCGCCAGCAGCCGC
rnacentral:rRNA from 1 species